rnacentral:rRNA from 1 species
GGAAUAUUGGACAAUGGGCGAAAGCCUGAUCCAGCCAUUCCGCGUGAGUGAAGAAGGCCUUCGGGUUGUAAAGCUCUUUCGCAAGGGAAGAAAACUUAACCUCUAACAUAGGUUGAGGCUGACGGUACCUUGAUAAGAAGCACCGGCUAACUACGUGCCAGCAGCCGCGGUAAUACGUAGGGUGCGAGCAUUAAUCGGAAUUACUGGGCGUAAAGCGUGCGCAGGCGGCCUGAUAAGUCAGAUGUGAAAUCCCCGAGCUCAACUUGGGAACUGCGUUUGAAACUAUCAAGCUAGAAUAUGUCAGAGGGGGGUAGAAUUCCACGUGUAGCAGUGAAAUGCGUAGAGAUGUGGAGGAAUACCAAUGGCGAAGGCAGCCCCCUGGGAUAAUAUUGACGCUCAUGCACGAAAGCGUGGGGAGCAAAC